AUUGUAUUGAGUGAGGGAUGGUUGUGCAAGGUCACCAGCUUCACUUUCUCUUCCUGAACCAUCUGGAUCCAGUGACCAGAUAUUCAUCAGGAUGACU
rnacentral:miRNA from 1 species